rnacentral:rRNA from 1 species
AUUGAACGCUGGCGGCAGGCCUGACACAUGCAAGUCGAGCGAGCGGCGGACGGGUGAGUAAUGGCUGGGAAACUGCCUGAUGGAGGGGGGUAACUCCUGGAAACGGUAGCUAAUACCGCAUACCCUCAGAUGUGCCCAUAGUGGAUUAGCUCGUAGGUGGGGUAACGGCUCACCUAGGCGACGAUCCCUAGCUGGUCUGAGAGGAUGACCAGCCACACGUGAACUUAGACGCGGUCCAGACUCCUACGGGAGGCAGCAGUGGGGAAUAUUGCACAAUGGGCGCAAGCCUGAUGCAGCCAUGCCGCGUGUGUGAAGAAGGCCUUCGGGUUGUAAAGCACUUUCAGCGGGGAGGCGUUACCCGCAGAAGAAGCACCGGCUAACUCCGUGCCAGCAGCCGCGGUAAUAC